AAAAAUGUAAAUUUUAUAUUUUAAAUUAUUAAUAGUUAUAGUCUUUAAAAUUAAAAAAUUUGGCGGUAUUUUAGUCUUUUCAGAGGAACCUGUUCUAUAAUUGAUUAUCCACGAUAAAUUUUACUUUUUUAAAAUAAUUUGUAUAUCGUCGUUAAAGAAUAUUUUAAGAGAAUUAAUAAUAUUCAAAAUUUUUUUAAUAAAAAAAAUCAGAUCAAGAUGCAGUUUAUAGAAAAGAAGAAAUGGGUUACAUUAUAUAAUAUAUUUGGAUUAAUAAUUGAAAAUUAUUAUAAAAUUGGAUUUGAAAGUAAUUUUUAUUAUUUAAUAAAUGUGAUUUUAGCUCUAAAAUAUGU
rnacentral:rRNA from 1 species